CAAAUGUCAUUUCUAGGAGCAUCCACAUAAUCUCAGCAAACAUAGCCUGUAGGAUUGGGCCAAUUAAAAAAAAAAAGAGCAUCCUUUACGUCAACUGUCAUUUUAAUGACAUUGACAGGACAGUAUCCACUCAUUCAUUCGCUGAUUUUGCUCGCUCAUUCAAUCAAUCAUUCAUUCACUCAAUUCUUUUCGAAAUUCCGAGAAAAAAAUCUUGAUUCCGAAAUAUUCGGAAAUAAAAGCAAACAAAUAAUGGUCAUUUUACCGUAUUUACAUUGUUUACCGUAUAAACAAGAUGGUUUCUUAUUAUCACCAAAUGCAUCGUGACUGGUUGCUCGUCCACCAAGUCCAGGGUUUUUUCUCUAGCACGUGAUGAAGCAUUGCAGGCUCUAAGGAUACAGUACCUCCUGCCUGCAAAUCCUUUAUCAGGAACUAUGACAAAGGAGCAACUUCGUCAAAGAAAGGUCUGCCAAUCACAUUUUGAGGAUAAAUAAAUCUAAAACAAUCUAUUGGUUAUGACAAUGAUGAAUGGAUGUCCUAUUUUUUAUUUAUCCAUGAAGAAAAUAAUAACAUCUCGGCGACCAUCCAAGCUGUUGCUGAUCAGGUCAUCCAGUAAGUUAAACUGCUAAUAGAGAUAACUUCAAUUCAGUGUUGUUGCCAGAUAAUGCUGUGAGUGAAGAAACUAUAUCCUGCCAUCUACAUCAGAGCCACAUCUGUCAUUAUGGAUAAUAUUAUUGCUGCGUCCUAAGGUUCAGCUUGCAAAUAAACCCAUCAAGCAGAGGCGGUACACACAAACAAAAGGUGGACUCUUUGGUUUUUUUAAAACGGAGCCCGAAAGCGUAUGAGCUAUUGCGCCACAUAUUUAUUUUGCCUAGUCAACGAUCAAGAAAAUGAAGGUAUUGAGUGAAAAAACUGCCGCAAUGAUACAGCCCCAAAUUUGGUAGGUUUGACAAACGCUCAAUAAUAUCA